rnacentral:rRNA from 1 species
GACGAACGCUGGCGGCGUGCUUAACACAUGCAAGUCGAACGGAAAGGCCCUGCUUUUGUGGGGUUCUCGAGUGGCGAACGGGUGAGUAACACGUGAGUAACCUGCCCUUGACUUUGGGAUAACUUCAGGAAACUGGGGCUAAUACCGGAUAGGAGCUCCUGCUGCAUGGUGGGGGUUGGAAAGUUUCGGCGGUUGGGGAUGGACUCGCGGCUUAUCAGCUUGUUGGUGGGGUAGUGGCUUACCAAGGCUUUGACGGGUAGCCGGCCUGAGAGGGUGACCGGCCACAGUGGGACUGAGAUACGGCCGAGACUCCUGCGGGAGGCAGCAGUGGGGAAUAGUGCACAAUGGGCGGAAGCCUGAUGCAGCAACGCCGCGUGCGGGAUGACGGCCUUCGGGUUGUACACCGCUUUCGCCUGUGACGAAGCGUGAGGGACGGUAAUGGGUAAAGAAGCACCGGCUAACUACGU